rnacentral:rRNA from 2 species
GAGAGGUGCUUGCACCUCUUGAGAGCGGCGGACGGGUGAGUAAUGCCUAGGAAUCUGCCUGGUAGUGGGGGAUAACGUUCGGAAACGAACGCUAAUACCGCAUACGUCCUACGGGAGAAAGCAGGGGACCUUCGGGCCUUGCGCUAUCAGAUGAGCCUAGGUCGGAUUAGCUAGUUGGUGGGGUAAUGGCUCACCAAGGCGACGAUCCGUAACUGGUCUGAGAGGAUGAUCAGUCACACUGGAACUGAGACACGGUCCAGACUCCUACGGGAGGCAGCAGUGGGGAAUAUUGGACAAUGGGCGAAAGCCUGAUCCAGCCAUGCCGCGUGUGUGAAGAAGGUCUUCGGAUUGUAAAGCACUUUAAGUUGGGAGGAAGGGUUGUAGAUUAAUACUCUGCAAUUUUGACGUUACCGACAGAAUAAGCACCGGCUAACUCUGUGCCAGCAGCCGCGGUAAUACAGAGGGUGCAAGCGUUAAUCGGAAUUACUGGGCGUAAAGCGCGCGUAGGUGGUUCGUUAAGUUGGAUGUGAAAG